CCUGUCCCUAGAACCAUUGCAAGUGCGGCUGCUGUGUCACACGUGCGUCAGUAGGUGGCAGAGAGGAGAGGGGCUAUGCCUGUGCUCAGUGUUCAGACACUGUGAACAUCUGAAUGACUCUUAGCCUAACAUUC
rnacentral:snoRNA from 14 species